GACGAACGCUGGCGGCGUGCUUAACACAUGCAAGUCGAACGGAAAGGCCCUGCUUUUGUGGGGUGCUCGAGUGGCGAACGGGUGAGUAACACGUGAGUAACCUGCCCUUUACUUUGGGAUAACUUCAGGAAACUGGGGCUAAUACCGGAUAGGAGCUCCUGCUGCAUGGUGGGGGUUGGAAAGUUUCGGCGGUUGGGGAUGGACUCGCGGCUUAUCAGCUUGUUGGUGGGGUAGUGGCUUACCAAGGCUUUGACGGGUAGCCGGCCUGAGAGGGUGACCGGCCACAUUGGGACUGGGUUACGGCCCAGACUCCUACGGGAGGCAGCAGUGGGGAAUAUUGCACCAUGGGCGGAAGCCUGAUGCAGCAACGCCGCGUGCGGGAUGACGGCCUUCGGGUUGUAAACCGCUUUCGCCUGUGACGAAGCGUGAGUGACGGUAAUGGGUAAAGAAGCACCGGCUAACUACGUG
rnacentral:rRNA from 1 species